AGAUGGGCUCUUCAGAUCUGAGUCCCAGAGCCCAAACUCGGCCCAGGACCCUGAGCUGAUCAGGACCUGCAAAGCCCAGCGCCUUGCUGCAGGAGGCGGCUGGAGUCACUGAGAGUCAAUGGAAUCCUGGCCUGGGACCCAGGGCCCCCGAGACAGGUGAGAAGCCCUGUGAAAGGUGACACAUGCGGCCUGAAGGCAGUCACUGUGUUUCUGGUGAGCCGUUCCCAUCAGCCUGUGCCCAGAGUGACGCCGACACCUCUCUGGUCAGCUGGGUCUCAGAGUUACAGAGCAGGUUCUACUUGGCAGAAGGAAGUGUGCCCAGCAUCCGGGGACAGACAUGGAGCAGCUGCCAUCGCCACCCAGAGGUCCUCAAGGUCCCUAGUGCGUGGUGGGCAGGCAGCUGACAUCUUGGCCAUGCCCACACUCGCCAGCAUCUCUGACUGCCGUGGCCCCGGACCGUCCACAGUGGAAGCCGCCAUCCCCCGGACCCGACACCAGCUACCGCCACCCCCUGGGUGCCAGGCUGCCUCCGGUCUCCCUGCCAGCCCCCUGCCCCACACUCUGGUGGCCACCUGGAGGGCGUGGCCCGUGGGUCCCAUCCCCGCAGACCCUGCCAUCCCGCGUGCUCUGGCCAGCUGCCCAGCUAACAUUACCGGGGCUAUGCAAAUUUUUCGGCAAUAUAUCCAUGCGGCAUCUGUGCAAUGAAUACAUUAUAAAGUGCCACGGACAAGCCAGUGAGCCUGUGGAUGACUAUUCCAUUGAGGGGAGGCCUGCAGGGACAGUGCGAGGACCCUGAGAGGCCACCCCUCCCUGGAGCUCUGGUCAGAAGUGCCCACCUCCAGCUGCCCCCAGCCCCCAACCCAACCGGGCCCUUUCUGUUCCCUGCUCCUUCUGCCCGGACCCCCUUCCCUGCCUUCCUCCUUCUCCCCUCCCGGCCCAGCGGCCACCGGCUGUGCCCACCACACCCCCAGCGCCAUCUCUGUCCCACAGUCUCAUCCCAGGACCUCCUGCGGCUCUGCACCCCAAGCCCUUGAGGUGACCUGCGGUCACCACGAGCAGGGAUCCUGUCAAGUGCCAUCUGUCCCCUUCCUCUGUCCUUCCAGUCCCCAAGCCUGCUCAGGACGGAAGAGGCCACUGCCUGCCUGACCUCCUGCCUGUGCCAAGGCCACCUGCCCCUGUACUCACCCCACUGUCCAUCCCGAGGCUGGGCCAGGUGCACUGGAGAUGU